UACGUAGGGUGCAAGCGUUUAAUCGGAAUUACUGGGCGUAAAGCGUGCGCAGGCGGUUAUGUAAGACAGUUGUGAAAUCCCCCGGGCUCAACCUGGGAAUUUGCACUGUGACUGCAUAGCUAGAGUACGGUAGAGGGGGAUGGAAUUCCGCGUGUAGCAGUGAAAUGCGUAGAUAUGCGGAGGAACACCGAUGGCGAAGGCAAUCCCCCUGGACCUGUACUGACGCUCAUGCACGAAAGCGUGGGGGAGCAAACAGGG
rnacentral:rRNA from 1 species